GCAGUCGAGCGGUAGCACAGAGAGCUUGCUCUCGGGUGACGAGCGGCGGACGGGUGAGUAAUGUCUGGGAAACUGCCUGAUGGAGGGGGAUAACUACUGGAAACGGUAGCUAAUACCGCAUAAUGUCGCAAGACCAAAGUGGGGGACCUUCGGGCCUCAUGCCAUCAGAUGUGCCCAGAUGGGAUUAGCUAGUAGGUGGGGUAACGGCUCACCUAGGCGACGAUCCCUAGCUGGUCUGAGAGGAUGACCAGCCACACUGGAACUGAGACACGGUCCAGACUCCUACGGGAGGCAGCAGUGGGGAAUAUUGCACAAUGGGCGCAAGCCUGAUGCAGCCAUGCCGCGUGUGUGAAGAAGGCCUUCGGGUUGUAAAGCACUUUCAGCGGGGAGGAAGGCGGUGAGGUUAAUAACCUUGUCGAUUGACGUUACCCGCAGAAGAAGCACCGGCUAACUCCGUGCCAGCAGCCGCGGUAAUACGGAGGGUGCAAGCGUUAAUCGGAAUUACUGGGCGUAAAGCGCACGCAGGCGGUCUGUCAAGUCGGAUGUGAAAUCCCCGGGCUCAACCUGGGAACUGCAUUCGAAACUGGCAGGCUAGAGUCUUGUAGAGGGGGGUAGAAUUCCAGGUGUAGCGGUGAAAUGCGUAGAGAUCUGGAGGAAUACCGGUGGCGAAGGCGGCCCCCUGGACAAAGACUGACGCUCAGGUGCGAAAGCGUGGGGAGCAAACAGGAUUAGAUACCCUGGUAGUCCACGCCGUAAACGAUGUCGAUUUGGAGGUUGUGCCCUUGAGGCGUGGCUUCCGGAGCUAACGCGUUAAAUCGACCGCCUGGGGAGUACGGCCGCAAGGUUAAAACUCAAAUGAAUUGACGGGGGCCCGCACAAGCGGUGGAGCAUGUGGUUUAAUUCGAUGCAACGCGAAGAACCUUACCUGGUCUUGACAUCCACAGAACUUUCCAGAGAUGGAUUGGUGCCUUCGGGAACUGUGAGACAGGUGCUGCAUGGCUGUCGUCAGCUCGUGUUGUGAAAUGUUGGGUUAAGUCCCGCAACGAGCGCAACCCUUAUCCUUUGUUGCCAGCGGUCCGGCCGGGAACUCAAAGGAGACUGCCAGUGAUAAACUGGAGGAAGGUGGGGAUGACGUCAAGUCAUCAUGGCCCUUACGACCAGGGCUACACACGUGCUACAAUGGCAUAUACAAAGAGAAGCGACCUCGCGAGAGCAAGCGGACCUCAUAAAGUAUGUCGUAGUCCGGAUUGGAGUCUGCAACUCGACUCCAUGAAGUCGGAAUCGCUAGUAAUCGUAGAUCAGAAUGCUACGGUGAAUACGUUCCCGGGCCUUGUACACACCGCCCGUCACACCAUGGGAGUGGGUUGCAAAAGAAGUA
rnacentral:rRNA from 1 species